UGGGGGAUAUUGCACAAUGGGCGAAAGCCUGAUGCAGCGACGCCGCGUGGGGGAUGAAGGCCUUCGGGUUGUAAACUUCUUUUGCUCUGAACAAGGCAUGCUAAUGGGUGUGUUGAGUGUAGGGGUUGAUUAGCGCCGGCUAACUACGUGCCAGCAGCCGCGGUAAUACGUAGGGCGCGAGCGUUGUCCGGAAUUAUUGGGCGUAAAGGGCUUGUAGGUGGCUGGUUGCGUCUGUCGUGAAAGCUCAUGGCUUAACUGUGGGUUUGCGGUGGGUACGGGCUGGCUUGAGUGCAGUAGGGGAGGCUGGAAUUCCUGGUGUAGCGGUGGAAUGCGCAGAUAUAAGGAGGAAUACCGGUGGCGAAGGCGGGUCUCUGGGCUGUUACUGACACUGAGGAGCGAAAGCAUGGGGAGCGAGCAGG
rnacentral:rRNA from 1 species